UACGGAGGGAGCUAGCGUUGUUCGGAAUUACUGGGCGUAAAGGGUGCGUAGGUGGUUUGUUAAGUCAGGUGUGAAAUCCCUGGGCUCAACCUGGGAACUGCAUUUGAUACUGGCAGACUCGAGUCUGGUAGAGGGUAGUGGAAUUCCGCAUGUAGCGGUGAAAUGCGUAGAUAUGCGGAGGAACAUCAGUGGCGAAGGCGGCUACCUAGACCAAGACUGACACUGAGGCACGAAAGCGUGGGGAUCAAACAGG
rnacentral:rRNA from 1 species